CAAUAGCGUAUAUUAAAGUUGUUGCGGUUAAAAAGCUCGUAGUUGGAUAUCUGUUUGGUAUUGAAGUUCUAACCGAUAAAGUUGGAUACGGCAAAACCAAACCUAAAUUACUGGAAUUAUCUUGUUUUUACGAAUAUUUUAGCAUGGAAUAAUAACCUAAGGCUUUGAACAUCUUAUCAACUCUAUGUUCAAAGUAAUGUAUAAUAGAGGUAGUUGGGGGCAUUCGUAUUUAACUGUCAGAGGUGAAAUUCUUGGAUUUGUUAAAGACGAACUAAUGCGAAAGCAUUUGCCAUGGACACUCNCAUUGA
rnacentral:rRNA from 1 species